AAGUCGUAACAAGGUUUCCGUAGGUGAACCUGCGGAAGGAUCAUUAAAGAUUGGCCGAAAGGCCUUAUCAUUAUAUCCCUCACCUCUGUGAACUGUGGACCCUCGGGUCUAUUUUACAAACAUCAGUGUAAUGAACGUAUAUAACAUUAACAAAACAAAACUUUCAACAACGGAUCUCUUGGCUCUC
rnacentral:misc_RNA from 1 species